AGCGAACGCUGGCGGCAGGCCUAACACAUGCAAGUCGAGCGCCCAGCAAUGGGAGCGGCAGACGAGAUAGUAACACGUGGGAACGUACCCUUCAGUUCGGAACAACCCAGGGAAACUUGGGCUAAUACCGAAUACGUCCGUAAGGAGAAAGAUUUAUCGCUGAAGGAUCGGCCCGCGUCUGAUUAGCUAGUUGGUGAGGUAACGGCUCACCAAGGCGACGAUCAGUAGCUGGCUGAGAGGAUGAUCAGCAUCACUGGGACUGAGACACGGCCCAGACUCCUACGGGAGGCAGCAGGUGGGGAAUAUUGGACAAUGGGCGCAAGCCUGAUCCAGCCAUGCCGCGUGGAUGAUGAAGGCCCUAGGGUUGUAAAGUCCUUUCGACGGGGGAAGAUAAUGACGGUACCCGUAGAAGAA
rnacentral:rRNA from 1 species